UCCUUUCCGCCCAGCCAGACCUCCUUCUCACGGGCCACGGCACAGGUCCUUCACCCAUAUUUUCGGGGGUACAAACAGGAAACCUCCUCUUCCCAUCCUCCCAUCCUCCCGAGAGGCUCUCUAAUCAGCUAGGGUUCCUUCCCAUAUCCAUGGCACACCCUUCCCCAGCGUCUUCAGUGCAGAGCCUCCACUCCCUCAAUUCCGCCAGUAUAGACCUCCUCUCUCCCCCACAUCAUCGAAAGUAAGUAUCCCCACUUUCAGGGUAGCAUCCUCUUUCCCUAGUUGUUUCAGUGCAGAAUCGAUUCACGUGUAAGCCUCUACCUCCUGCACUUACCCCAAUGUAGACCCCUUUCCACAGUCCCCCUACAGAAGAUCUCCCAAAACAUUUCCAACACAGAACUUCCAUCCAAUUCCCCUCCGACUGCCUGCCUCCCUCCUCCAGGACAGAGCACGCCCCAGGUUUCGAGACUGAACUACCCCCAUCUACGGAGUCCACCCCUCCCUCUCUAGAACCCCCUCAGUGUAGACGCCUCCUCUUUUCCUCUUCCCUCCCUACUUUUUCUAGUUUUUCUGCAGCCGACCUCCAGCGUCGGCCACUGUAGCUCCUUCCUUGCUCCACUUUCCCCAGAGUACACAGCCUGCCUUUCCACUCUCCGUGCAGACCCAUCCUCUUUCCCGCUCCUCGAUCUCGGACGCCACCAACGCUCUCCCGGGCUCUUCCGCGUUACCUACGAUGGAAGGUCGGGGCGUGCGGGCAGCUGGAGCCCACCCCUGUCUUGGAGCUCCGGGUAGCUCUCAAACUCGAGGCUGCGCACCCCCUUUCCCGUCAGCUGAGCUCUAGAGCGCUGGGGCUCUCUUUUCGAUCGACUUCUUGUAAUAAAACCAACUUUAUCAUUCUUUGGGUAACAGACCCGAAAGCCGAUGGGACGGCCCGCUGGGCCCGGGGCUGUCCCCGCCCCUAUGCCCUUUUUUGGGUUUCCGGCCAGAGGCAUGCUGGGAGCGUCACAUGCAAAUUGAGCGUGCACCCAGCGUUCCGCCCUUUCUACGUUGGGCCGGUUAUCGACCUGGCCCAGUGCGCAGGCGCGGGAAAGUUGAACUAAUAAAGUUUGUACGAGUUGAGUGGAGAAGACCGCAAGUUGAGUGGAGGAGGCGGCGGUGGGGCCCCGGACCAGGUCAGCGGGGUGUUGACGAGGGGUGGGGUGAGGAGGGAAGAGGAGGGGGCCGGGAUCCAGUAGUGGGCACCCCAGUCCCGCUUCUCUGACAUCCAAGGGUCCAGGGUCCUCUAGAUUCCAGCAGGAGUCGGAGAUUUGGAACUACACCUCACAGCAGGCUGCGCGGCGAAGAAGCGCGGACGGAGGGGAAGAUUUGCCCUGAAACCUCCUGGGAUUGGUAGUUCCCGACGCUUUAAGGGUUUCUGGAGUUUGGCAUAUGCCUCUUAUAGAAUCCAGGAGUUGGGGCGCUAAGCCUCUUCUUCCUGGGAGACCUAAGGGUCUGGGGCUCCAGUUCCUUUCUCUCUAAGACUCAGAAGUCUAGGACCCCAGCUCCCUCCUCCGUUAGACCCACGAAUCUGGGCACCCAGCCCCACCACCUUUCCUUGGAUCAAAGAGUCUUUUUCCUGAUCCCUUUUUCGUCUGAGGACUCAAGAGUCUAGGCCCCCAGACCCACACUCUGUAAAGGACCCAGGAGUCCAGGCCCUCAGCACCUUCCUUGGGACUCACAAGUCCUGGUCCCCAAGCCUCCACUUCUUGCUAAACCCUUGGAGUCCAGUCCCUAACCCUCUCUCUCACAGGUGCCUCCAUGGCAGGCUCUGAAGAGCUGGGGCUCCGGGAAGACACGCUGAGGGUCCUAGCUGCCUUCCUUAGGCGUGGUGAGGCUGCCGGGUCUCCUGUUCCAACUCCACCUAGGUAAGAGGAGUGGCCCUUCUCCCCCAGGGGCCAGCAUUUGAGGCUCCCUCCUAACUCUUGCUCCUGGUCUCAGUCUGUCUCCUCUCUUUAUAUCUGGCUCUAUUCUCUGUCUUUGGGGUUUUGGAGAGAGGUCCUCAGCGGGGGAGGGAGGGAGUUGGGGAAAGAGACUGCUUGCAGGGGAUCUCUGGUGGGGUCAGUCUCUGAAGUCCUCCUCCCCAGAAGCCCUGCCCAAGAAGAGCCAACAGACUUCCUGAGCCGCCUUCGAAGAUGUCUUCCCUGCUCCCUGGGGCGAGGAGCAGCCCCCUCUGAGUCCCCUCGGCCUUGCUCUCUGCCCAUCCGCCCCUGCUAUGGUUCAGAGCCUGGUAAGAGAUUUCCAUGAUCAUCUGUGAAGCCGGCAGAACACGGGAUAAGGUGCUAGUUUAAGAUCACUCAGCUAGGGGGUGGCUGUGUGGAGUCUCUAGCACCAGCCUUCAGGACAGAACUGUCCUGUCCUCUCCCCUCCCCAGUUAGAUUUCUGUCAAUUCUGUGGGUUGGCUUUCAGAGAGCAUUUGGUCAAUCUGGUUGUUGUCUCUUUCCUUCCAUAACUACUUCCCUGCCCCUAGGACUUUUGUAGCCAGGAAUACCCCUGAUAGAGGGGCAGAAGGGCUGGUUUUCAGUCACAUCUCCCUGGCUGUUUUAGUUGCGUGACUCUGGGGAAAAUGCUUUCUCUUCCCUGCUCCCCUGUUUUUCCAAUAGCAGAGUAGGAAUUGGGGAGUAGGUCACUGGACUUGAUCAAGGUGACCCACAAGUUUCCUCAUAGGUGUGAACCUGGACAGACUAGUAAUGGCUGCUGGGAGUGCUAGCUUGAAAACGGGUUCACAGCUGGGGAGAGGAAGUGCUGUGAUCAAUUGGUGAUGUCUGUAGUGAGUGAGGGAAGGGGGAUACUAACAGUAAUGUCUUGUGUUUGCCUUCCUUGGAUGAGAUCAUCUUCAAGGUCUAGUUGAGCUCUGACAGUCUUUUGGAGACAGAUUCUUGCUCUGUCACCCAGGCUGGAGUGCAGGGGUGCAAUCUCAACUCACUGCAAUCCCCACCUCCUGGGUUCAAGCGAUUCUCGUGCCUCAGCCUCCCGAGUGACUGGUAUUACAGGUGCACGCCAGCAUACUAGCUGAUUUUUAUACUUUUAGUAGACACGGGGUUUCGCCAUGUUGGCCAGGCUGGCCUCAAACUCCUGGCCUCAAGUGACCCUCCCACGUCGGCCUCCCAAAAUGUUGGGAUUGCAGACGUGAGCCACCGCACCCUGUCAGCUCUGACAUUCUUUUUUUUUUUUUUUUUUUUGAGACGGAGUUUCGCCCUUGUUGCCCAGGCUGGAGUGCAAUGGCCCAAUCUCGGCUCACCAUAACUUCUACCUCCCGGGUUCAAGUAAUUCUCCUGCCUCAGCCUCCCAAGUAGCUGGGAUUAUAGGCAUGCGCCACCAUGCCCGGCUAAUUUUUUUUGUAUUUUUAGUAGAGAUGGGGUUUCUCCAUGUUGGUCAGGCUGGUCUCGAACUCCCAACCUCAGGUGAUCUGCCUGCCUCAGCCUCCCAAAGUGAUGGGAUUACAGGCGUGAGCCACCGCGCCUGGCCCCAGCUCUGACAUUCUAAGUCCAGUCUGAGGAUCUCAUAAAGUGAAAAGUACAAGGGUUUUGGCAUUUUUAACCAAGUUUUCUCACUGGGCCUCAGUUUACCCCAUUAUAAAAUGGGAAUCAUGGCCGGGCUUGGUUGCUCACGCCUGUAAUCCUAGCACUUUGGGAGGCUGAGGUGGGCGGAUUGCCUGAGGUCAGCCUGGGCAACACGGUGAAACCCCAUUUCUACUAAAAUACAAAAAAUUAGCCAGGUGUGGCGGCGUGCGCCUGUAGUCCCAGUUACUCACGAGGCUGAGGCAGGAGAAUUGCAAGACUCCGUUUCCCAAAAUCAAUACAUAAAUAAAUAAUAAAUAAAAUGGGAAUCAUUGCCACCUGCCAAGGUAGUUGGGGGAAGGAGAGAAUCUGUAAGUUUCCAAUGUCCUGGAAACCUGUCAUUAACUCUUUUCACCCCAGGCCCAGCUACUCCAGACUUCUAUGCUUUGGUGGCCCAGCGGCUGGAACAGCUGGUCCAAGAGCAGCUGAAAUCUCCG
rnacentral:lncRNA from 1 species